AAUAAUAUUUAUAAUGAUAAUGAUAAUAGUAAAGAGAGAAAAAGAAAGAAGAAAAAAACAGGAAAAAAUGAAAAUUAGAAAAUAGGAUGGGGGCGGUUGAUUAAGAUGCAGAGAGACAUUUUUAUGAAAUUUCAAAAUGCAAAGAAUCUCCUCUCAUCAAACGACGCAUGUCAAAGGGAGUUUAAAAAAACUCCUUUCCAGACGUCUCAACGUGUAUUAUCCGAAGAAGAAAAAAUACAAUCUCCUUCUUCUCCAAACCAUUCUUUCUC
rnacentral:lncRNA from 1 species